rnacentral:piRNA from 1 species
UUCCAGUGCGUCCAUAAUAACUUUCUUUGUU